UCAAAGCACAAAUUAUCUAAAAAAAAACUCAAAUUACCUGACAAAUUCUUAUUAAGCACUAAAUAUAAAGAAUUAAAAUAGUUUUUCAGGCAAUUUAGAGUUCUUGUUUCAUAAAACAAAUUGCUAAAAUCUGUAAUUGAAUGAUUUCCAACGUUAAAAAAUAUCUUAUUUUGGGAAUUCUUACAAAUGUAAAAUGGACCGGUUCGGGAAACCAGGAGGACGCACGGACUGAUCCUGGUGGAACGUCUUUCUGAGGGAGAGCUUCCCUGCUUUUGACCAGCGCCGGGUCGUCGCUGGCCGUUUGUCGCUGGCCGUUUGUCGCUGGCCGGAUCCUCAGAAACUCCUCCCGCGUCGUUGUCUGAGAAAAAACAAACAAACAAGCAAAAUGAGUAUAUUUGCUUAUAGACUCUAUAAAAAUAAUAAAUAAAUAAAAAAUAGUCAUACUACAAACCUUCAGGGUGGUGGUGGUGUAGAGCUGUCGACGUAUUUUUUUUUUAAUGCGGCUUCUGUGAAAGAAAAUGCAUUUUUUAACAACACAUAGUGUGUGUGUGUGAUAGGGUUCGCUAGGAAACAUACUCUUCCUAUUCGCUAGGUGGGGAUCUAGAGUCAUUUAACCGUCAAAGAAAAUACAUACUACUCCAAUUCGAUAGAUGGCGAUCUCGAGUCUUUUUUAACCGCCGAAGAAGAGGAUGUGACGUCAUGAUUUACCGCGUGAUUCAAAAUGGCUGCACUGUGGUUCACAAGACGGGAGGAAAAAGAAAGAAAAAGGAUCAAAACUUACCGACGGUUCCCCUUUUCCUCUUCUUCGGAGCAGCCUUCGUUGUUGGAACCCGAUCCUGAAGCUCCGAGUCGGCGUGUUUCUCUGGACCCGUCGGGCGCUCGCUUCGGCUUUCGCCGGCCUGGACCCCGGAGAUUGGCUGUGGAUUACCCGGAGCCGUACGCUCGUUGACGGGUUGCAGGGUGGUCUAAGGCUGGGGGUUAGGCUGAGUCUGAGACGCCUUCUGUUUGUUUGGUUGGAAAGCUCGGGGUGGGUCGCUGCUGCUGCUGGAGCAUCUGAGUUUGACCGACGGCUUCCCGCGGUGAUGGCGGCUGCUGCAGCCGAGUUAGGUCUGAAGUCCCCCGCUGGAGCCUUGGAGUGGUUCGGGAAACCCGGAGGACGCACGGACUGAUCCUGGUGGAGCGUCUUUCUGAGGGAGAGCUUGCUUCGGAGCAGCGCCGGGCGGGGCAGCGACGCUCAGAGGUCCGGUGAAGACGGCCGGGUUUUUCUGGACCACGCAGUUCUGAGUUUCAACUUCCCCCAGGAAUUCUACGCUUCUCCAUCAGAAGGUCCAUCGGUGUCGGAAUGGCCGCCUCUUCUUUGGAACAGACGGGCUCCUUAUUCCUUUCCCGCGAGCUAAGAUCAUUAAGGUAUCGUCAGUCAGUAAGUGUUAAGAGUGAGCAUCAAACAGAUGGAGGAUCUCAUGGCUUUUUUUUUUUUUUCUGCGCUUCAAGGAGAAGACCCGUUGGUGUUCGCGCCUCCUAGGAAACAGACGGCGGGAUCUCCUUUCUGCUUCCUUUCUCGCCGCUGCUGGGUGUCGGAAGGCGUCAAAAGUAGAACCGAAAUAAAGUCUACUUAAGGAA